rnacentral:rRNA from 1 species
AGACAGCAGCAGCCGCGGGAAAACGGAGGGUGCAAGCGUUAAUCGGAAUUACUGGGCGUAAAGCGUGCGCAGGCGGUUUGUUAAGACAGAUGUGAAAUCCCCGGGCUCAACCUGGGAACUGCAUUUGUGACUGGCAAGCUAGAGUAUGGCAGAGGGGGGUGGAAUUCCGCGUGUAGCAGUGAAAUGCGUAGAUAUGCGGAGGAACACCGAUGGCGAAGGCAGCCCCCUGGGCCAAUACUGACGCUCAUGCACGAAAGCGUGGGGAGCAAACAGGAUUAGAUACCCCUGUAGUCCCUGUCUCUUAUAC